CGAUGAAGAACGCAGCGAAAUGCGAUAAGUAAUGUGAAUUGCAGAAUUCAGUGAAUCAUCGAAUCUUUGAACGCACAUUGCGCCCUCCGGUAUUCCGGGGGGCAUGCCUGUUCGAGCGUCAUUACAACCCUCAAGCUCUGCUUGGUGUUGAGCCCGCCCCGGCCUGCCCGGGGCUCGCUUCAAAGUCAGUGGCGGCCGCCGUCCGACCUUCAGCGCAGUAAUGCUCGCCGCUGUUAGGGAAGGGCAGCAAGGGCCGUCAUACAACCCCCACACACAAGGUUGACCUCGGAUCAGGUAGGGAUACCCGCUGAACUUAAGCAUAUCAAUAAGCGGAGGAAAAGAAACCAACAGGGAUUGCCUCAGUAACGGCGAGUGAAGCGGCAACAGCUCAAAUUUGAAAGCUGGCUCCUUCGGGGCCCGCGUUGUAAUUUGUAGAGGAUGCUUCGGGCGCGGCACCGGUCUAAGUUCUCUGGAACGAGACGUCAUAGAGGGUGAGAAUCCCGUAUGUGACUGGCUGCCUGUGCCCAUGUGAAGCUCCUUCGACGAGUCGAGUUGUUUGGGAAUGCAGCUCAAAAUGGGAGGUGUACUCCUUCUAAAGCUAAAUAUUGGCCAGAGACCGAUAGCGCACAAGUAGAGUGAUCGAAAGAUGAAAAGCACUUUGGAAAGAGAGUUAAACAGUACGUGAAAUUGUUGAAAGGGAAGCGCUUGCAAUCAGACUUGCGCGGCGUCGAUCAGCCUGGGUUCUCCCUGGUGCACUCGGCGCCGCUCAGGCCAGCAUCAGUUUCGGCGGUGGGAUAAAGGCCUAGGGAACGUGGGUCCCCUCGGGGACCGUUAUAGCCCUAGGUGCAAUGCCGCCUGCCGGGACUGAGGACCGCGCU
rnacentral:rRNA from 1 species